AACUAUGUAAAACUUACAACUUAGUUUACAAAUCAUUCUUUUUAUCUAUUCUAACUAGAAAUUCUAUCAACUAAACCCCUAAUUUAACAACUUGUUCAAAAUGAAUCAUGUUCAAAAACCUAUGAACUUCCAUAACCUCCACUUAACUUCAACAAAACUUUGUUUUAAAGCUUCUAAAACAUCAAAAUGAAGAGAAAAUGGCUAAAUUUAGCUUACCAAUUAACUUGAAGCUUUAAAAUCUCAAUUUCCCCUUUUUAUUUUCUUUCCCUUUUUCUUCCCCUGUUUUUCGUC
rnacentral:lncRNA from 1 species